rnacentral:rRNA from 1 species
AACGAACGCUGGCGGCAGGCUUAACACAUGCAAGUCGAACGCAUCCUUCGGGGUGAGUGGCAGACGGGUGAGUAACGCGUGGGAACGUGCCCUUCAGUUCGGGAUAACCCAGGGAAACUUGGGCUAAUACCGGAUACGUGCGAGAGCAGAAAGAUUUAUCGCUGAAGGAUCGGCCCGCGUCUGAUUAGCUAGUUGGUGGGGUAAUGGCCCAACAAGGCGAGGAUCAGUAGCUGGUCUGAGAGGAUGAUCAGCCACAUUGGGACUGAGACACGGCCCAACCUCCUACGGGAGGCAGCAGUGGGGAAUAUUGGACAAUGGGCGCAAGCCUGAUCCAGCCAUGCCGCGUGAGUGAUGAAGGCCUUAGGGUUGUAAAGCUCUUUCGUCCGGGACGAUAAUGACGGUACCGGAAGAAGAAGCCCCGGCUAACUUCGUGCCAGCCGCCGCCGUAA